GACGAACGCUGGCGGCGUGCCUAAUACAUGCAAGUAGAACGCUGAAGAGAGGAGCUUGCUCUUCUUGGAUGAGUUGCGAACGGGUGAGUAACGCGUAGGUAACCUGCCUUGUAGCGGGGGAUAACUAUUGGAAACGAUAGCUAAUACCGCAUAACAAUGGAUGACACAUGUCAUUUAUUUGAAAGGGGCAAUUGCUCCACUACAAGAUGGACCUGCGUUGUAUUAGCUAGUAGGUGAGGUAACGGCUCACCUAGGCGACGAUACAUAGCCGACCUGAGAGGGUGAUCGGCCACACUGGGACUGAGACACGGCCCAGACUCCUACGGGAGGCAGCAGUAGGGAAUCUUCGGCAAUGGGGGCAACCCUGACCGAGCAACGCCGCGUGAGUGAAGAAGGUUUUCGGAUCGUAAAGCUCUGU
rnacentral:rRNA from 1 species